ACCGUUCCUGCCCCAUAUGAGCCUUGCAAACGUUAUUCUAUCUCGACCCUCUGUCUUCCUAUCAAGGCUUACAGUUCUUCGAUCUAGCACUGACUACGCCACGGUUGCCGCACUUCGCGGGCAACAUAAUAUAAGGAAGACAUGACAUGGCCAACGGUACAGUCAAAUGGUUCAACACAACAAAAGGCUUCGGCUUUAUCGCUCCUGAAACUGGCGGCAAGGACGUUUUCGUUCACAUUUCCGCUGUUGAGCGUUCCGGCCUCACAGGUCUGGCAGACGAUCAAAAGGUAACUUUUGACGUUGAAGCUGGCCGCGACGGUCGUGAGUCUGCGGUUAACCUCGCACUCGCAUAAGCUUUUGGCCUUUUGGCCAAAGUUAAGGGCGGUACCCACGGGUACCGCCCUUUUU
rnacentral:misc_RNA from 1 species